rnacentral:rRNA from 1 species
GCGCAUACAAAGAGAAGCGAUCUCGCGAGAGCAAGCGGACCUCAUAAAGUGCGUCGUAGUCCGGAUUGGAGUCUGCAACUCGACUCCAUGAAGUCGGAAUCGCUAGUAAUCGUGGAUCAGAAUGCCACGGUGAAUACGUUCCCGGGCCUUGUACACACCGCCCGUCACACCAUGGGAGUGGGUUGCAAAAGAAGUAGGUAGCUUAACCUUCGGGAGGGCGCUUACCACUUUGUGAUUCAUGACUGGGGUGAAGUCGUAACAAGGUAACCGUAGGGGAACCUGCGGUUGGAUCACCUCCUUACCUUAAAGAAGC